ACGAAUCAAAGGGGUUCACUCCAGUGUACUGAGGAGGAUCCUCGGGGUGCCACUGGUUAGCGAGCUCCUCCGGAUCCCACUGAUAAACAGACUGUCGAUAAGGGUCAAGUGGUGGCUCCGGCUCAGCCUCUAGAGCGGGUGUGAGGCUCCAGUACGCAUAAAUGGCCUCCGGCAGGAUGAGGUAUGCUACCUCUUGAGCACUGCGUUGGUUUUCCCUUGAAGAGGAAAGGGUGAUGCAGUAAAGUAGCGUAAGUAUUUCCCUCAGUUUUUGAGAACCAAGGUAUCAAUCCAGUAGGAGGCCAUGCCCAAGUCCCUCGCACCUACACAAACAAAUAUAAACCUCGCAACCAACGCAAUAAAGGGGUUGUCAAUCCCUUCACGGUCACUUACGAAAGUGAGAUCUGAUAGAUAUGACAAGAUAAUAUUUUUGGUAUUUUAUAAUAAAGACUAAAAGUAAAGAAAACAAAAUAAACGGCGCCAGAAAUAGCAUGUUGACGGGAGAUUAAUAUGAUGGAAAAUAGACCCAGGGGCCAUAGGUUUCACUAGUGGCUUCUCUCAAGAGCGUAAGUAUUACAGUGGGUGAACAAAUUACUGUUGAGCAAUUGAUAGAACUGAGCAUAGUUAUGAGAAUAUCUAGGUAUGAUCAUGUAUAUAGGCAUCACGUCCGCGACAAGUAGACCGACUCCUGCCUGCAUCUACUACUAUUACUCCACACAUCGACCGCUAUCCAGCAUGCAUCUAGAGUAUUAAGUUCAAAAGAACAGAGUAACAAUUUAAGUAAGAUGACAUGAUGUAGAGGGAUAAACUCAUGCAAUAUGAUAUAAACCCCAUCUUGUUAUCCUCGAUGGCAACAAUACAAUACGUGCCUUGCUGCCCCUACUGACACUGGGAAAGGACACCGCAAGAUUGAACCCAAAGCUAAGCACUUCUCCCAUUGCAAGAAAGAUCAAUCUAGUAGGCCAAACCAAACUGAUAAUUCGAAGAGACUUGCAAAGAUAACCAAUCAUACAUAAAAGAAUUCACAGAAGAUUCAAAUAUUGUUCAUAGAUAAACUUGAUCAUAAACCCACAAUUCAUCGGUCUCAACAAACACACCGCAAAAGAAGAUUACAUCGAAUAGAUCUCCACAAGAGAGGUGGAGAACAUUGUAUUGAGAUCCAAAAAGAGAGAAGAAGCCAUCUAGCUAAUAACUAUGGACCCGAAGGUCUGAGGUAAAUUACUCACACAUCAUCGGAGAGGCUAUGGUGUUGAUGUAGAAGCCCUCCGUGAUCAAUGCCCCCUCCGGCAGGACGCCGGAAAAGGCCCCAAGAUGGGAUCUCACGGGUACAGAAGGUUGCGGCGGUGGAAUUAGGUUUUCGUGGAUGCUUAUGUUGGUUUGGGGGUACGUAGGUAUAUAUAGGAGGAAGAAGUACGUCGGUGGAGCAACGUGGGCCCCACGAGGGUGGAGGGCGCGCCCAGGAGGGUAGGCGCGCCCCCUACCUCGUGCCCUCCUGGUUGAUGUCUUGACUUAGGGUCCAAGUCCUCUGGAUCACGUUUGUUCCGAAAAUCACGUUCCCGAAGGUUUCAUUUCGUUUGGACUCCGUUUGAUAUUCUUUUUCUGCAAAACUCUGAAAUAGGCAAAAAAACAACAAUUUGGGUUGGGCCUCCGGUUAAUAGGUUAGUCCCAAAAAUAAUAUGAAAGUGUAUAACAAAGCCCAAUAAUCAUCCAAAACAGAAUAUAAUUAGCAUGAAUCAAUCAAAAAUUAUAGCUACGUUGGAGACGUAUCAAGCAUCCCCAAGCUUAAUUCCUGCUCGUCCUCGAGUAGGUAAAUGAUAAAAACAGAAUUUUUGAUGCGGAAUGCUACUUGGCAUAAUUUUUAAUGUAACCCUCUUAAUUGUGGUAUGAAUAUUCAGACCCGAAAGAUUCAAGAUAAAAGUUUAAUAUUGACAUAAAAGCAAUAAUACUUCAAGCAUACUAACUAAGCAAUUAUGUCUUCUCAAAAUAACAUGGCCAAAGAAAGUUCAUCCCUACAAAAUCAUAUAGUUUAGUCAUGCUCCAUUUUCGUCACACAAGAAUGCUCUCAUCAUGCACAACCCCGAUGACAAGCCAAGCAAUUGUUUCAUACUUUAGUAAUCUCAAACUUUUUCAACCUUCACGCAAUACAUGAGCGUGAGCCAUGGAUAUAGCACUAUGGGUGGAAUAGAAUAUAAUGAUGGGGGUUAUGUGGAGAAGACAAAAAAGGAGAAAGUCUCACAUCAACGCGGCUAAUCAACGGGCUAUGGAGAUGCCCAUCGAUUGAUGUUAAUGCAAGGAGUAGGGAUUGCCAUGCAACGGAUGCACUAGAGCUAUAAAUGCAUGAAAGCUCAACAAAAGAAACUAAGUGGGUGUGCAUCCAACUUGCUUGCUCACGAAGACCUAGGGCAUUUAAGGAAGCCCAUUGUUGGAAUAUACAAGCCAAGUUCUAUAAUGAAAAAUUCCCACUAGUAUAUGAAAGUGACGAAACAAGAGACUCUCUAUCAUGAAAAUCAUGGUGCUACUUUGAAGCACAAGUGCGGAAAAAGGAUAGUAGCAUUGUCCCUUUUUAUUUUCUUUUUUUGGGCCUUCUUUUUUUAUUUGGCCUUUCUUCUUUUUUUGGGACAAUGCUCUAUGAAUGAUGAUCAUCACACUUCUAUUUAUUUACAACUCAAUGAUUAUAACUCGAUACUAGAACAAAGUAUGACUCUAUAUGAAUGCCUCCGGCGGUAUACCGGGAUAACAAUGAAUCAAGAGUGACAUGUAUGAAAAAUUAUGAACGGUGGCUUUGCCACAAAUACGUUGUCAACUACAUGAUCAUGCAAAGCAAUAUGACAUUGAUGAACGUGUCAUGAUAAACGGAACGGUGGAAAGUUGCAUGGCAAUAUAUCUCGGAAUGGCUAUGGAAAUGCCAUAAUAGGUAGGUAUGGGGGCUGUUUUGAGGAAGGUAUAAGGAGGUUUAUGUGUGAUAUAGCAUAUCAUAUCACGGGGUUUGGAUGCACCGGCGAAGUUUGCACCAACUCUCAAGGUGAGAAAGGGCAAUGCACGGUACCGAAGAGGCUAGCAAUGAUGGAAGGGUGUGAGUGGGUAUAAUCCAUGUACUCAACAUUAGUCAUAAAGAACUCACAUACUUAUUGCAAAAAUCUACAAGUCAUCAAAACCAAGCUACGUGCAUGCUCCUAGGGGGAUAGAUUGGUAGGAAAAGACCAUCGCUCGUCCCCGACCGCCACUCAUAAGGAAAGCAAUCAAAGAACACCUCAUGCUUCAAAUUUGUCACACAACGUUUACCAUACGUGCAUGCUCCUAGGGGGAUAGAUUGGUAGGAAAAGUCCAUCGCUCGUCCCCGACCACCACUCAUAAGGAAGACAAUCAAUAAAUAAAUCAUGCUCCGACUUCAUCACAUAACGGUUCACCAUACGUGCAUGCUACGGGAAUCACAAACUUUAACACAAGUAUUUCUCAAAUUCAUAACCACUCAACUAGCAUGACUCUAAUAUCACCAUCUUCAUAUCUCAAAACAAUUAUCAAGCAUCAAACUUUUCUUAGUAUUCAACGCACUUAUAAGAAAGUUUUUACUAAUCUUGGAUGCCUAUCAUAUUAGGACUACCUUCUCAAUUUAAGAAAAUUACCAUGCUGUUUUGUAGGACUCUCAAAAUAAUAUAAGUGAAGCAUGAGAGAACAAUAGUUUCUAUAAAACAAAACCACCGGCGUGCUCUAAAAGAUAUAAGUGAAGCACUAGAGCAAAAACUAUAUAGCUCAAAAGAUAUAAGUGAAGCACAUAGAGUAUUCUAAUAAAUUCCGAAUCAUGUGUGUCUCUCUCAAAAGGGUGUGUACAUCAAGGAUGAUUGUGGAAAACUAACAAACAAAGACUCAAAUCAUACAAGACGCUCCAAGCAAAACACAUAUCAUGUGGUGAAUAAAAAUAUAGCUCCAAGUAAAGUUACCGAUGGAAGUAGACGAAAGAGGGGAUGCCUUCCGGGGUAUCCCCAAGCUUUGGCUUUUUGGUGUCCUUAGAUUAUCUUGGGGUGCCAUGGGCACCCCCAAGCUUAGGCUCUUGCCACUCCUUGUUCCAUAAUCCAUCGAAUCUUUUACCCAAAACUUGAAAACUUCACAACACAAAACUUAACAGAAAAUCUCGUGAGCUCCGUUAGCGAAAGAAAACAAAACACCACCUCAAGGUACUAUAAUUAACUCAUUCUUUAUUUAUAUUGGUGUUAAACCUACUGUAUUCCAACUUAUCUAUGGUUUAUAAACUAUUUUACUAGCCAUAGAUUCAUCAAAAUAAGCAAACAACACACGAAAAACAGAAUCUGUGAAAAACAGAACAGUCUGUAGUAAUCUGUAACUAACGCAAACUUAUGGAACUCAAAAAAUUCAGCCAAAAUAGGAAGACCUAGAAAAUUUGUUUAUUGAUUAGCAGCAAUUGGAAUCAAUAUUUUAUCACGUUCUGGUGAUUUUUAACAAUUAUUUUCGUGAACAGAAAGUUUCUGGAACUUUCAGCAAGAUCAAAUAACUAUCAUCCAAGAAGAUCCUAUAGGUUUAACUUGGCACAAACACUAAUUAAAACAUAAAUCUAACCAGAGGCUAGAUCAAAGAUUUAUUCCUAAACAGAAGCAAAAAGCAAAAAACUAAAAAUAAAAUUGGGUUGCCUCCCAACAAGCGCUAUCGUUUAACGCCCCUAGCUAGGCAUUGAUAAUUUCGAUGAUGCUCACAUGAAAGAUAGCAAUUGAAACACGAAGGGGGCAUCAUGAAGCAUAUGAAAAUCACAUCUAAGUCUAACAUACUUCCUAUGCAUAGGCAUUAUAUAAGCAAACAAAUUAGCAAGACAAGCAAGAUCUAGCAUAUGCAAGGAAGAAGAAAGAAACAAUAGCAAUCUCAACAUAACGAGAGGGAAUUUAGUGACAUGAAAAUUUCUACAACCAUAUUUUCCUCUCUCAUAAUAAUUACAUGUAGGAUCAUAAGCAAAUUCAACAAUAUAUCUAUCACAAAACAUAUUCUUAACACGAUCCACAUGCAUGCGAAGUUGACACUCUUCCAAAAUAGUGGGAUUAAUACUAACUAAAGUCAUGACCUCUCCAAACCCACUUUUAUCAAAAACUUCAUAAGAUUGAACAUUCUCCAAAUAUGUGGGAUCUAAAGCUGACACUCUUCCAAACCCACUUUCAAUAUUAUUGCAAACAUUAUUAUCAAUCUCAUAUUCAUCAUGGGGCUUAAAUAAAUUUUCAAGAUCAUAAGAAGAACUAUCACCCCAAUCAUGAUCAUUGCAACAAGUAGAGGACAAAGCAAAACUAGCAUCCCCAAGCUUAGGGUUUUGCAUAUUUUUAGCACAAUUGACAUCAAUAGAAUUUAUAAUAAAAUCAUUGCAAUCAUGCUUUUUAUUCAAAGAUCUAUCGUGAAUCGCUUCAUAAAGCACUUCAUCACAAUUUUCAGAUUCACGAAUUUCAAGCAAAACCUCAUAAAGAUAAUCUAGUGCACUCAAUUCACUAGCAAUAGGUUCAUCAUAAUUGGAUCUCUUAAAGCAAGCGAAGAUGCAAGCAAAAAGAAGGUACAUGGUAACACAAGCAAACAAAAGAUCGAACGGAAGAACGGCGAAUAAAACGGCAAGGGUGAAGUGGGGGAGAGGAAAACGAGAGGCAAAUGGCAAAUAAUGUAAUGCGGGAGAUAAGAGUUUGUGAUGGGUACUUGGUAUGUUGACUUUUGCGCAGACUCCCCGGCAACGACACCAUAAAUCCUUCUUGCUACCUCUUGAGCACUGCAUUGGUUUUCCCUUGAAGAGGAAAGGGUGAUGCAGUAAAGUAGCGUAAGUAUUUCCCUCAGUUUUUGAGAACCAAGGUAUCAAUCCAGUAGGAGGCCACGCCCAAGUCCCUUGCACCUACACAAACAAAUAUAAACCUCGCAACCAACGCAAUAAAGGGGUUGUCAAUCCCUUCACGGUCACUUACGAAAGUGAGAUCUGAUAGAUAUGAUAAGAUAAUAUUUUUGGUAUUUUUAUAAUAAAGACUAAAAGUAAAGAAAACAAAAUAAAC
rnacentral:lncRNA from 1 species